UCUGGUCAGGAUGAACGCUGGCGGCGUGCUUAACACAUGCAAGUCGAACGAAGCAACUUAUUACGAUCCCUUCGGGGUGACGAUUGUUGACUGAGUGGCGGACGGGUGAGUAACGCGUGGGUAACCUGCCUUGUACAGGGGGACAACAGUUGGAAACGACUGCUAAUACCGCAUAAGCGCACAGCUUCGCAUGAAGCAGUGUGAAAAGUUUUUCGGUACAAGAUGGACCCGCGUCUGAUUAGCUAGUUGGUGAGGUAACGGCCCACCAAGGCGACGAUCAGUAGCCGACCUGAGAGGGUGACCGGCCACAUUGGGACUGAGACACGGCCCAAACUCCUACGGGAGGCAGCAGUGGGGAAUAUUGCACAAUGGGCGAAAGCCUGAUGCAGCCGACGCCGCGUGAGCGAAGAAGUAUUUCGGUAUGUAAAGCUCUAUCAGCAGGGAAGAUAAUGACGGUACCUGACUAAGAAGCACCGGCUAAAUACGUGCCAGCCGCCGC
rnacentral:rRNA from 1 species